GCAGGCUGCAACCCGCCUGCAUGAAGUUGGAAUCGCUAGUAAUCGCGGAUCAGCAUGCCGCGGUGAGUACGUUCCCGGGCCUUGUACACGCCGCCCGUCACACCAUGAGAGUCGGGAACACCCGAAGUCCGUAGCCUGACCGCAAGGGGGGCGCGGCCGAAGGUGGGUUCGAUAAUUGGGGUGAAGUCGUAACAAGGUAGC
rnacentral:rRNA from 1 species